rnacentral:rRNA from 1 species
UACGUAGGUGGCAAGCGUUGUCCGGAAUUAUUGGGCGUAAAGCGCGCGCAGGCGGCUUCUUAAGUCUGAUGUGAAAUCUCGGGGCUCAACCCCGAGCGGCCAUUGGAAACUGGGAAGCUUGAGUAACAGAAGAGGAGAGUGGAAUUCCACGUGGUAGCGGUGAAAUGCGUAGAUAUGUGGAGGAACACCAGUGGCGAAGGCGACUCUCUGGUCUGUAACUGACGCUGAGGCGCGAAAGCGUGGGGAGCAAGCAGG